rnacentral:rRNA from 1 species
UGCGUAGACGGUAUGGAAGGUCGGGCGUGAAAUCCCUGGGCUCAACCCAGGAGCUGCGCUCGAAACCACCACACUUGAGUUCGGGAGAGGGAAGCGGAAUUCCUAGUGUAGAGGUGAAAUUCGUAGAUAUUAGGAGGAACACCGGUGGCGAAGGCGGCUUCCUGGCCCGAUACUGACGUUCAGGCACGAAAGCGUGGGUAGCAAACA